rnacentral:lncRNA from 1 species
AAAAGAUUAUUAAGAAUAGCAUUUAUUCCAGUGCAACACUUAAGGAUAGCCAUCCAGGAGACACAACUCCAAACAAAUGAGAUCAGUGUUUUAAAGUGGGAAAGGUAAAGUUUCAUUUAUAUAGGCAGAAAGAGAAAUUUUAGCAGGUUACAUGCUUCAUAUGAGACCAGUGCAUAUGUUACAGUGAUUUCAUUGGUUAUAGAUUGCUACAUUCUAAGGAAGAUUACUUUAUUAUUUCCUAAGGAUGGGUGGACAGUGAUCUGAGGGACUCUAAUCUCUGGCACUCUUUGGUCAUAAUUAUUUACAGGAAAAAAAAAAGUCAGAAGUUGCAGCUGCAUGCCUUGUGACUCAGACUGCAUAGCCACAUCUCUCUCAAAGCUCAGAAUAAUUUGAAGUUCCAACAGCCUUAAGUUUUAAUUUCUU